rnacentral:rRNA from 1 species
AAUAGCCGCAGUAUUUUGACUGUGCAAAGGUAGCAUAAUCAUUAGUUUUUUAAUUAGAAACUUGUAUGAAUGGUUGGAUGAGAAAUAAUCUGUCUCUAUAUAAUUUUACUAGAACUUUAUUUUUAAGUUAAAAAGCUUAAAUUUUUAUUAAAGACGAGAAGACCCUAUAGAGUUUUAUUUGAUUGAAUUUAUUAUUUAUAAAGAAUUUAAAUUUUAUAAUUUUAAUUGAAUUUUGUUGGGGUGACAGGAAAACAAGACAAACUUUUCAUUUUUGGAACAUUAUUUUAUGAUUUGUUGAUCCAAUUUUUUUGAUUAUAAGAUUAAAUUACCUUAGGGAUAACAGCGUAAUUUUUUUUGAGAGUUCUUAUCGAAAAAGGAGAUUGCGACCUCGAUGUUGGAUUAAAAUUUAAGGUUGGCGUAGAAGUUAACUUUUUGAGUCUGUUCGACUUUUAAAAUUUUACAUGAUCUGAGUUUAAACCGGUGUGAGCCAGGUUGGUUUCUAUCUUAAUUAAGUUAAAAUAUUUUAGUACGAAAGGACCAAAUAUUUAUAUAAUAUAUUUUGUUUUGAAUAAAGUUGUUACUUUGGCAGAUUAGUGCAUUAAAUUUAGAAUUUAAUUAUGUAUGUUUAUACAGGUAAUACUUGAUUUUUUAUGAUUUAUCAUUAUUAUUAGUUAGAGGAUUAAUUUUAGUAGUUUCGGUUUUGGUUGGAGUA